rnacentral:lncRNA from 1 species
CCCGGCACACAGGAAGUACCUUCGGUUCACGGUCAGACAGCACCACUUUCAGUUUGCUGUCCUCCCCUUUGGCCUGUCUACUGCCCCGAGGGUCUUCACAAAAUGCAUGGCAGUCGUCGCCGCGCACUUUCGCAAGCAGCAGAUACAUGUCUUCCCGUACCUGGAUGACUGGCUCAUCGAGGGCGCCUCGCACGCCCAAGUCCGUCAGCACGUCUCAGUAAUCACGGACCUCUUUGUCUGUUUGGGGAUCCUCCUCAAUGUGGAGAAGUCCACUCUCAAUCCAACGCAGAGACUGGACUUCAUAGGAGCGACACUGGACUCCUCCCUUGCCAGAGCCUACUUACCUCAAGCGCGCUUCCUAGCGCUUACCUCACUCGUCCGGCACUUGCAAGCAGCUCGUCUGACCUCAGCUCGCAACUGCCUCGCUCUGCUGGGGCAUAUGGCCGCAUGCACCCAUGUCACCAAAUAUGCCAGGCUAUGCAUGAGGCCCUUUCAGACGUGGCUUCACUCGGUCUUCCAUCCGAGCAGGGACUCCAUGGACGUGCUGCUCACGAUCCCUCCCGGUCCUCUCCGCUCCCUCGACUGGUGGCUGGACCCGUCUCAGGUUUGUGCAGGGAUGCCCUUUCAUCCGCAGCAACCAUCACUAACCCUAACGACGGAUGCGUCAUCCCUCGGCUGGGGGGCCCACCUAGGUCGCUUACGGACCCAGGACCGUUGGUCUGCCAACGAGCUCACCCUUCACAUCAACAUACGGGAGCUACGGGCCGUUCGUCUCACUUGUCAGACGUUUCAGCAGCAUCUUCGUGGCCGUUGUGUUUCGGUAUUUAUGGACAACACAACGGCCAUGUACUACAUCAACAGGCAGGGGAGGACUCGCUCGUCUCCCCUGUGUCAAGAAGCCAUUCAACUAUGGGACUUCUGUAUAGCCCUCCGGGUGGAUCUAGUAGCAUCCUUCCUCCCCGGAGUCCGAAACACCCUGGUGGAUCAGCUGAGCAGGUCCUUCCUCUGCCACGAGUGGUCGAUCAGAUAGGACGUCAUUUACUCCGUUUUCCAGAGGUGGGGGUUUCCCCUCGUAGACCUCUUCGCGUCCCGCUCGAACAGGAAGUGCCAGGAGUUCUGCUCAUUCCAGGGCCUCUCCCCCGGGUCGAUANNNNNNNNNNNNNNNNNNNNNNNNNAUGCGCCUUUUCUCCUACCUUGGAGCCACGCCUGCUUUAUGCCUUCCCUCCAUUUCCUCUGGUACACAGGGUCUUGCUCAAGCUUCGCAGAGACAAGGCGCAGCUCAUCUUAAUAGCACCAGCGUGGCCAGGCAAGCCUGGUACACCACCCUCCUGGA